AGAAGUGCAAGAGCUGCAGCUCCCGUGUGUCCGCAAAUGCCAGGAGGAGGAACUCGUUGAAGGAGCUGCCGUUGGACAUUUUGCUAUCUCCAGGCAUGGGGAACUGUCGAAAGAAGAAAAGACAUUGAGAAGUUAGGAGAGACUUUUCAAGCAAAAAUCCCCCAUAUGUUGCAGUUCUCAUGCAACCCCCCACACUGCCUCUCUCUUUAUGGAGAGGAUCUGUGUGCAGCUCCUUUGCUUGAGCUCCACUUUUCUCUGGCUGAGUGUGCUGUGAGGAGCAGGGACUUCUGCCCAUGAGCUCCAGAGGAGUCAGUCCGGCUGUAAAGCAGUGGGCACAGGGGAAUAGGGGUGACUAGAUCUGACAUUCUCAAUUUCUGUUAGGUGAAAUCCAUUUGUCAUGCAGAAAGGCUUUUCAGCACCUUUAUUCCCAAUUCUAAAGAAUGAGGUUUGAGGAACAGAGUUUCAGGGAUUUUUUUUAUUUUCUUUGAGAUGCCCCUGUCACCCCUGGGGAAUGUUCCUCAAAGGCAGAAAUUCUCAGCAUUUCUACUGAGUCCUGAGAAACAUGAAUUCUCUGUCCCUUGUUGCGGAGUGCGGACAGCUAGUUUGUCUAUUAGCCUUGUUCCUUGCUGUCCUGUGCUUGCAACUCUUUGAAACUGGACUCGUCUGCUCUCAGCAGGGGUUGGUUUCUUUUUAGGGCAACAUAUGAGUGUGAUCAUCCUCCAGCUCAAAGUGCACAUCUCCAAACUUCUCACCCUUUCUCCAGGCACCUGAGAGAGCUCUCCACACUCCCCUUCUAGCCAAGGACAUACAGGGCUCUUUUCAGAUGCCCAUAUACAGCCUCCCACCACCAUCUCCAUACUCUCAGCAUCUCUGCACCUUCUUCAUUUGUCUCUUGGACACAACAGAGAUGCUAUGAGGCAGCGGUGCCCUUCCGGAGGGCAGCUCAAAGUCUGCCAGGCCAGUGCUAGGUGCCUGGGUGCUGUUUGUGGUUGUGAGGUCACUUGUGGCUCAGUGCCUGCUAGGCCAGUGCUAGCUGCAUGGCUGCUGUUUGUGGUUGUGAGGUCGCUUGUGGCUCAGUGCCUGCUAGGCCAGUGCUAGGCGCAUGGCUGCUGUUUGUGGUUGUGAGGUCACUUUUGGCUCGUUGCCUCACAGGCCAGUGCUGGGGAGAAUAGAGGGCUGUGAAAAGAGCAGGGCCUAAGCUUAGGGAAAUCUUUGCAGAGUUCUCGUGCUUUUUUAUAGCUUCCUUUCUUCUUGCAGUUGCUAAGGAGGAAAGGA
rnacentral:lncRNA from 1 species